rnacentral:rRNA from 1 species
GACGAACGCUGGCGGCGUGCUUAACACAUGCAAGUCGAACGGAAAGGCCCUGCUUUUGUGGGGUGCUAGCGUGGCGAACGGGUGAGUAACCCGUGAGUAACCUUCCCUUGACUUUGGGAUAUCUUCAGGCAACUGGUGCUAAUACCGGAUAGGAGCUCCUGCUGCAUGGUGGGGGUUGGAAAGUUUGGGCGGUUAGGGAUGGACUCGCGGCUUAUCAGCUUGUUGGGGGGGUAGUGGCUUACCAAGGCUUUGACGGGUAGCCGGCCUGAGUGGUUGACCGGCCACAUUGGGACUGAGAUACGGCCCAGACGGCUACGGUAGGCAGCAGGGGGGAAUAUUGCACAAUGGGCGGAAGCCUGAUGCAGCAACGCCGCGUGCGGGAUGACGGCCUUCGGGGUGUAAACCGCUUUCGCCUGUGACGAAGCGUGAGUGACGGUAAUGGGUAAAGAAGCACCGGCUAACUACGUG